GAAAGAAUGCUAAGAGCCAGACUCAUCGGUGCACAGACCCGGGAGUUGGGGAAUACCGACGAGGCAAAACUCCGUCCGAGAACAAUAAGAACCAUAGGAUUCCAGAGGACCACCAGGGAUUCCAGCAUCAGAGAAAGCGGAACUAAUUGUUCCAACCACCUCCUUUUGGGAGGGACGGGUCGGACACUUACGCUGUCCUCCCCCCCCCCCACCGGCACUUGCGCCGGCACGUGCAGGAAGUGGGCGGGGAAUCCUGGAAAGCCAUAUUUGGACCGGGCAGCGAACCGGAAGUGGGUUGGAGGUGUGGCGGAAGUGGUUGGGGAGAGGAGCGCGGGAGGGGGCGGUUCCCGUUCUACCGUGGAGCCGGAUGUUUGCCGAGCUUUGACAGGCGUGGCAGAGGGAGCAGUGCCCGACCACGGGAUUCAGCCCCACUCCCGGGUCUGCAGUGACGAGACUUCAUCUCCUUCGCUGCUUUUCUCCUGCACUUCCCAGGGAAGAGUCCAGGUCAGAUCGCAGUCAUCGAGCAAGCCCAUGAGAAGGGGAAGUCUCUGAUCCGAUCUGGCGAAGCUCUAAGAACAAGAAAUUUGGGGGAAGUAUUCCAGCCUGCCACUAACUAGGCCACGCUUUCAUUUCUAUUUCUUAAUCCCUGAAAUGGGAUAAUUACACCUGGUACGGGUUUUGCAAACUGUGAAGCUCUGGACAAAUGCACUUGUAGUUGAAAGCCUUGCUAUUGUAUCGUGGGAUUUGCAUUUUCGCAAUGCUGGGGCCCCAACUGGGAGGGUGAUCCCAGUGCCAGAGAAUACUAUUUCAAAUUGUUAUCUCAGCUCUUCGUGAAGAUUAGGGGAGAGGCUUUACUUUGCCUUUUUAUGAACCCUCUCUGAACCUUCAGAAUCACAUGAAUGACAGUCAUUUAGAGAAAUGUUGAGGGAUUGACCUGCAUCAAAAGACCACCUUAUAAAGACAUAGAUUAAAAUCUUGACUCUGCUGUAUGACCUACCUAAACAAUUUGCUUAUUUUUUCUGGUCCUCACUUUCCUCAAACAGUAAAAUGGGCUUAGUAGUAUAAACCUCACUGGUGCUGUUGUGAAGUUAAAAAGUAAUUUGUCUACUUUAUGGUGCUAUAUAGGCCCUCAACAAAUACUGGUUGCCUUCUCCAUUUAGGAGAUGACCUCAUUCAUUCAGUCAUUCAACAAAUGAGAGCAUCUAUGUGCUGAAUAGGUCAGGGAUUCUUUUUUUUUUUUUUAAAGAUUUUAUUUAUUUAUUUGACAGAGAGAGACACAGCG